rnacentral:rRNA from 1 species
UACGGAGGGUGCGAGCGUUGUUCGGAAUUAUUGGGCGUAAAGCGCUUGUAGGCGGUUUGUCGCGUCUGCUGUGAAAUUUCGGGGCUCAACCCCGAACUUGCAGUGGGUACGGGCAGACUAGAGUGUGGUAGGGGAGACUGGAAUUCCUGGUGUAGCGGUGAAAUGCGCAGAUAUCAGGAGGAACACCGAUGGCGAAGGCAGGGCUCUGGGCCACUACUGACGCUGAGAAGCGAAAGCAUGGGGAGCGAACAGG